AUUGAACGCUGGCGGCAUGCUUUACACAUGCAAGUCGAACGGCAGCGCGGGCUUCGGCCUGGCGGCGAGUGGCGAACGGGUGAGUAAUACAUCGGAACGUGCCCAGUAGUGGGGGAUAGCUCGGCGAAAGCCGGAUUAAUACCGCAUACGACCUGAGGGUGAAAGCGGGGGAUCUUCGGACCUCGCGCUAUUGGAGCGGCCGAUGGCAGAUUAGCUAGUUGGUGGGGUAAAGGCCUACCAAGGCGACGAUCUGUAGCUGGUCUGGGAGGACGACCAGCCACACUGGGACUGAGACACGGCCCAGACUCCUAAGGGAGGCAGCAGUGGGGAAUUUUGGACAAUGGGCGAAAGCCUGAUCCAGCAAUGCCGCGUGUGUGAUGAAGGCCUUCGGGUUGUAAAGCACUUUUGGCGGGAACGAAAAGGACUGUGCCAAUACCACGGUUCGAUGACGGUACCCGCAGAAUAAGCACCGGCUAACUACGUG
rnacentral:rRNA from 1 species